AAAAAGUGAAUCCAUGUAAAUCAGUGACAGCCAGAAAUUUAAAAUAUGUGUUUUUAAAUGAAACAUGAAAGAAAAUUUUUUUGACAGUCACCUUUCAAGCAUAUUGUUUAAUCAACGAAGUAAGCUUACUCAUCUGCAUAUCAAGUUGAAGUUUAAAUGUUAUUUGUCACAUACACGGUCAUACAAGUACAACAUGCAGUGAAAUGCUUGUGUCACGGGGGGGGGGACAGGCUGCAGACAUGGCAGUGCCAAAAAGAAAACAGUAAAAGUACACACAUCAGGGACAUGAAGAGAAAAAAAAAAGAACUCUACUUGAACUGGGCUCCUAACUGGGAACCAGUCGGAGGACAGUAAAAAAAACCCAUCUCAGCACAAAAAAAAGGCACAUGAAUAUUCACAUGUAAAAGGACGUGGCAGGACGUGCAGGAUAGUCGGACUGUCCCGAGCCCAGGCUUCUCGGUAGGGUGUCAACUUCGUUGAUGGACCAGUUGAUCAAAUCCAUAAUUCUUUAGGUUUUAGAGAACAAGGCUGAGAGACUGUCUGAGGGUUAGAGUUAGACGAGACUUGACAAGGACAUACAAGCCAAGCAUGAAAGAUAAGGGAUGAGAGGGUGAAAGAUGCAUCCGCCUCUGCCGAGAGUAAAAGUUGACAUGUCAUUAGUCACAUACACUGUAUUUUGAAUGACCUUACUGAAAGCACUGCAUGAGGUUCCUGUUUGACAGGUAAGAACAUGUAGAGCAGAUCCUGUAAUACCAGCCAGUAUUUCUAGAUAAUACAGGUGAUCAGAUAGUGUUAAUGGAUAGUAUUGAAGACCUUCAGGAAGGCUGAAACUCUAAAGCCCAGACUGAAGUCUAGUCAAAUAUUCUAUUAGUUAUUAUUCAUAAAAUAAAUACAUUCAACUGAAAUAAUUUCAUUAAGGAGCUCUAUAAAUCUACAGUUCAGAAAAGGUUUAGAAAUCAUUCAGUAAGAGCAGGUUCAGGUUUGCUGUUACUGAAUGAAAAAAACUAAACUAAAUACCCACAUGCUGGAGAGAAAUAUCAUAAAUUAAAGAACCAUUAUCAAUAAAAAUAAUGAAAUGCUCCACAAUGCGUUUGCAGGGUGUGCAUAUUUGUCCAUAGGGUGCUGUAUUUAUUGAUGGGGUCUCUAGUUCUAGUCUCUCUCAGAGGUUUCAUAGAUGUUGCAAGAAGCUGUUAAGUCCACAACAUACUUUUAUUCACACUGCUGUUGAACUUGCUUUUGAAUGCAAUGUGAAUAAUACAGAAGAAAUAAGAUAAAUUGUUUACUUACUUUGUUCAGUUUUUCUUUCUAGAAAUAAAAACGUAAGAAAUAUUUAAGCUAAUAAGCUAAUAACAAGUAUUGGCCUAUUAGCUUAGAUCAUCUGAAAAUGUCACCUUUCUUCUUUGCAAACAUAAAAUCAAAGGAGGAUGAAACAACAUCGGUAACCACAGCAGCAAUGAUCAUCACGUCCAAGGGCCUCUCUGCUCAGUCAAAACAAACAAGCCAGAUAAAAUGUGAAUAUGAAGCAGAAUAGAAGAACAUCCAUUCAUCCUGUAGUAUUCUCCUAGCUAUAAUAUAAAUCCCAUAAUGGUGAGGGGUAAUAAAUAUAGCACAAUUUCUCAGUCUCAAAUGCUAUGACAUAUUUAAGCUAAGCAGAGCUAAAAUUCACACUAAAAUUUUGUUGCUGACAUUUAACCCUAUACAGGAGCUUUGUGUGUUUUUUCUUAGACUGAAAAAUAAAUAAUUACAGACACUACUGAAGUCCAGUUUUUUUUCCAGAUUCUGCUUGAGGUCCAAACAAAAACAGGAUAAGACAUUUCAAACACCACAUUAUCAGGAAUCCAUAGUAAAAGCAAACAAAAUAAAUAAAAUGAUUUAACCUCACCUUUCGUACUGUUUUGUCCCCAUUUGGUUCUUAUCACUGUUUAUUAAAUCUAGUGAUUAUGUCCUUACCAUCAGAGAGCUGAAACACAAAGUCUUAUCUUAUCCAGUCUUCAGGUUUGACUGAUGAAACAUUCAGAUCAACAAUAAUCUGAAAAGUCUCAUCAUUGUUGGGAAGGAUUUCUUCAGGUUCCACGCCUUAAUAAAGCUCCUUUCCAUCAUUUUUUCAGAGCAUCUCGGCUUUGUCAGGAUAGAAACCUGUAGCGUGGCAACUGACUGGAGAGGAGGGAGUCUUCUGGAGGAGAAACACUAAGGGAAGAACAGAAGAGAUGGAAUGGGGGAAAGAGAAGGAGUAUGAAUCCAUGGAAGAAGUAAACAUGGCAACAACAGAAAAUGUAGCAAAUAUAAAGAUGGAAGAGAUCAAUUGGAAAACAUCAACAAAAUAUCUCUGCCUGAAAUCAGUCUCAUAGAAAUGAAACUGCAUCAGGUCAUUCUACCUGUUUUCUGUACAAAACCUAUUAUUUUUUUCUAAAAAGGAUCUUCACCCAAAUAUCUAAAAAAAAAAAAAAAAAAAAUCAUAUUUAAAAUUAUAUUAGGUUGUCGAUUUACUUUUAAGCCUCUGAAAGUGGGGGACUAUGUAUAAAAAAGAGUUUGGACCACGAUGCAGAGUUGCAGUCUUACACACCUCUCUGCAGUUUAUUUCAAAAAGAUAUAUUCACAAAGAAAGAACACAUUUUUAAGUGCACUAAAGACUAAGUGGGUUAAGUUUGGACUAUUUAACAUUAGGGCUAUCUCUUUUAAGUCUGUGUUAGUAAUUUGUUUAAUAAAUUACCAAUAUUUUUUAUAUUAAAAUAAAAAGAAAUAAAAGUAUUGUUUUGUUCUACCUUGCAGAAACCUGGUUACAGCAGGAUGAAUGCAUGCAUGUCCAUUUGAAAGUCUGAAAUGGACAUGAUGGAUUGACAUGUCUUAGGCACAGUCAUACGGUUUACUUUAUUUUUGUAUGUUGACUUAAUGCUAAAUGGAACUUGAUAAGAAAAAAACAUAAUCAACAUUGAUAUUUAAUCUGAUUCUAACCACAGAGCAACCUGAACAUAUCACACUUGCCCUUUAUUUUGUUGUCAACUAAAACACUAUUAACAUUUAAUGACUAAAUCUUACAUAGAUGAGAGAAUAUUGAUGACACAUGUCAACACAACAGAUAAAAAGACAAAAAUACGAUCACUCUGCAAAGAGAUUAAAAUUCCCUGUUAAAAUUCCCUAAUUAUCUGUUUCAGUCAGCAACACUCAUGACCUUAGUGUUGAACUUGGUAUAAACUGAAUCUAAUCUUAAAAGGACAUAAAUGUCCUUCUUUGAAUGAUACUUACGCAAUAACUUGCAUUGUUUUAAGUGUACUUUCAAAUUUGCGUGUUGAUCUUUGUCUUUCCUUGUGUCACCACUCACACCUGCAUUCUAAAAAAGAAUCGUCCCUGCCAAGCGUUCCACACAGAUCAUGCAAAUCUAUUUACACAUAAAUGUAGUAAUGCGUAGCAUCUAUAUGGAACCCAAUGUGGACAAAAAUACUUUGGCAGUUGUUUACGAAACAAAAAGGGAAGAAACAUUAUGAUGUGCUUCUUCUUGAGCUGUUGUUAGCACAAAAUAUCAACAACUCGACUUUGUACCUAUUGUUAAUUAUUAUUCAGUUUUAAGCCAAGAUCACACAUAAAUCCAUAUAAAUGUAACUCUGCAUGUGCAGAACAUGCUCUCCAAAGGGUUCACUCACUUUUGGCACAGCAACACUUAAAGCUGCAAAGAUCUAAGCUAAGAUAUCUCUGAACCAUAAAUAAAGAAUAGAAGAAAGAAUACAUGAAUUAACUGUUUGGAGACUGGAAGAAAAUUUAAUGAACAUAUAUAUUCCUUAGAGGAUGGAACCUUAGUUUUUGUUGAACAGAACCCCUCAGAACAGAAGACAAACAAAAAUCUACAGGUGUUUCCUGCAUGUCCCAUACAUAAUGUAGAGAUGUAUAGAUAGCUAACAAUUCCACAUAAAUUGAGGUGCCAUACAGGUAUUUAUAUUGAACUGGUCUAACGGGAGGCCAUACUUUUGUCUCUCACUAAUGUCGCCUUUGCUAGUUUUCUCUCUCAAUAUCAUACUAAAUAUUAUGCAGUAAAUAGCAAACUAUGCAGUAAAAUAUUUUAUAUCUAAAUUUAGGUACAUUUCAGACUUUGAAGAUCCUGUUUACUCAUAUUUUUCUUAACCUGGUGCAGAUAUUCAGGUCUUUCUCGUACAAGUGGGAGUGACUACAUGAUGACUCAUACCUAAACCGCUAUAUAGUGAUUCCAAACAGAGGU
ensembl:lncRNA